GAAGAAUUAAAAUAGUGCUUUUAAUAUAAUUUUCAGCAAACGUACAGUAUGUACUUUACAUCACAUAUUUCUAAACUGCUCAUUUGGAAAAUAAAAGCUGCAAAAAUACAGAAUACCACACUCAAAAAUCUAUUGAGUAUGUGCUUUUUUCCCCCCUCCAUUCUGUGCAACAGGGUGGUUUUUUACCCUCUCAGCUGAUUUCGUUAAAGCUGUUGGAGCCCUCCGUCAGAGGAGCAUUCCCAAGAGGGGAGUUUCUAAAGCAUGUCGGCAAGCCAUCCCCAGAGGAGGUAGAGGGAUGGGUGGAAGGGAAUUUGCACACCAGGUCAGCAUGACUCUUUAGAGACUCAGGAAAGAUGCCUACUCUGAGAGCUGUUUGGAGUACUCCUGACCGUUAAGUCUCCUCUUUAGUCCUCAUCACAGGAUGAAGGCGAAGGAUUUGAGCGCGAUGGCGAUGCUGACAUAUAGGUAUCUGUAGACCACAUUGUCAUAGAGGACGCAGGCGCCUCGCUCCCCACAGAACGUGCUCCAGAACAGGCAGGUGG
rnacentral:antisense_RNA from 1 species